GUAGGAAGCACGUUUCGUAGGCUUUUGAGGCUUGUUUAUCGUUCGUGUAGGCGGCAGCAUCCGUUAAACAUAAAUUUGUAAAUAACUCAAUAUUUGCUGUUUGUAAACAAAUAGAGCCCACCCUGCGAGAAAAAUAACUGCCCGAGGAAUGCCCAAGGGAUUUUUAGAGAAGAUUAAUUUUAACUGAGACCAUCCCAUUACCUACAGCCAUGGAUGAUAGUAGUGGAGUACUAGUUAGUGCGUCUGAGUUCAUCAAGGAUCGCUUAUACUUUGUGACACUGCAGACAUAUGCCAAACCCAGAUCAACAGAAAAUACUCAUUACUUCUCUAUCGAUGAAGAAUUGGUGUAUGAAAACUUUUUUGCCGACUUCGGGCCUUACAAUUUGGCAAUGCUCUAUAAAUAUUGCCAGAAGUUAAACAAAAAAUUACAGACUGUACCAGCUAAGAAGAAAAUCGUGCACUACACGUCAACAGACCCUCAGAAAAGAGUGAAUGCUGCAUUCUUAAUUGCAUCUUUCUCUAUUAUUUAUUUGAAAAGGACUCCAGAUGAUGCCUAUGUGGACUUGUUGAGGGGGUCGAACCCACCUUUCAUUUCUUUCAGGGAUGCUUCUGUUGGAGCUGCUCUCUACAACAUAACUCUUCUAGAUUGCCUGAAAGGUGUUUAUGAAACUCACAAGAGGCAGUUCUUCAACCUUGAUGAUUUUGAUGUGAAAGAAUAUGAACACUAUGAGAGGGUGAAGAAUGGGGAUCUGAACUGGAUUGUUCCUCUAAAAUUUAUUGCAUUUUGUGGUCCUCAUGCUAAAAGCAAGAUAGAAGAUGGUUACUUCAUUCAUGCUCCAUCAGCAUAUUUCAACUACUUCAGGAAGCACAAUGUGACCACUAUAAUCAGAUUAAAUAAGAAGAUAUACGAUGCAAAUGACUUUAGCAAUGCAGGCUUUGAUCACAGGGAUCUUUUCUUUUUGGAUGGAAGUGUUCCCAGUGAUCACAUUUUGCAACAGUUCUUGAACAUUGUUGAGAGCACUAAGGGUGCUGUAGCUGUUCACUGUAAAGCUGGACUUGGGCGUACUGGCUCACUCAUUGGUUGCUACAUCAUGAAGCACUAUGGGUUGACUGCAAGAGAAACAAUUGCGUGGAUAAGGCUCUGCCGUCCUGGCUCUAUUAUCGGCCAUCAACAGCAAUGGUUGGAAGAGAAACAGGCAAAGAUGUGGGCUCAGGGAGAACUUUACCGAAGAGAACACGGUCCAACUCCUACUCCAAUGUUUGGUGUGUACAGUCUUAAGAUGAAGGAUAUGAUUGAGAGAGGAGUUCCCCUGAACAGCCAAGAGCUGUGUGAUAACCGCUCCAAGGUCAAUGAAGAUGCCAAGGUUGACAAUGUUCUUCGUAUCUUGAAGAAGGUGGACACCAUGAAGUUAGAUGACCAGACUGAUGAGAAUAAGAACAAUGGCAUCAACACCACAGCCCAGUCAACAGUGGCAGCAAAUAUUUUAAAGCUGACCCAGGGUGACAAACUGAAUCACAUGAAGGCUCAACGCCAACUGCAGCAUGUGAGGUCCCAUUCUUUGACAACACCGUCUUUACUAUUUGGAACUGGUCGACCUCAUACACGUGCCAUGAGUCAGACAUUCCGCAAUGAUUCCUCUCAGUCUAGUUCACAGCUUGCUGCUGUCUCCCCAAUCAAAGCACCCAAAUCCUUAUCAACCAUUGGAUCAUCAUGUGGUGGAUUGAAGCGAACAACUCGAACAUUAGCAAGUCCAGUUAAAAGAGCUUUACCUUUGAACUCCUUGUAUGGGACUUCACGACCACUUAACGCAAACAGGAGCGUUGUGGGUCAGUCUCUCUCAAUGCAUUCAAUUCGGUCUCAGUCCUCUCCUACAUCUCGUUGUGCAAGUUCUCUUUCAUCAGCAUCAAAUCUUGUUGGUCAUCCAACUCAGUCCACCCUCUUGGGCUCUGAUAAACUGACACGGUUCCGUGCUCUUCGUCACCUGAAAACUCCAGGGAUAUGAGAGAACUCUGCAAUUGAUGAUUAACUGCAGUACCUGACAAAUAAUUGGAUGAAAUGUUUCUGUCUGCUGCUUUGGAGUAUUUCGCUCUUUUUGCAUUUUGGAUGUGAAAUUUUACAGUUGUUCUAUAUUUAUUUUAUUUUUUGUGUGUGUUAACGUUUUAUACGUUGGAAUAUAAGUACAUCCUAUUGUGUGAACUAGGUAAACUUAGAAUAUAAGUUUUCUUAGGGCUAGGCUUUACCUCAAAGUGAUUGGUCCGUACUGCCCAUUUUUUUCUUUUCUUUUUAUAUUCUGUGUCAAAUGAAUUGCACUGAGUAACUUUCUACCAUUUUUCAGCGGUAAUUUUAUGUGGUUGCCGUCUUGAAACUUUUGAUAGUGAUUGAAGAGUUUUGAAUCUAAUAAUAGAGAUCCUUGAAGUUCUUAUUUUGUAGACUGCUAUUUUUAUACAUUUAUAAGAUGGACAUAAAGCAUGACAUAGGAUGUGAAGACUACAGUAUUACCGUAAUUCAUGAAUUUUUGGUAAAUCUCAACCUCUUAGAAUUUGGUUAUUUAUUUUUAUACGCAUAUUUUUUCUUUUGAAAAAAAAAGAAACAAACUUUAACAGGACAAUCUUCAUCAGUAACAUAUUACUCUUUUUGUAUUCUAUUAUAGUCUAGAGUUUAUUGGUUGAUAAGUUUUGUAAGCAAUUUAUUUUGUCAAAAUGCCUGGACGAAGACUGAUGUCUAUAUACUAUUGAUACCAACUGUGAUUUCUCCUAGCCUGGCACUCCUCUUCAUCUUUCCCUAUCUGAUCAGUCGAACAUCCACACGAAGCUCUCACAAAUCUACAUUUGUUAGAUGACUAUCGCUGCCGCCAUCAACCUCUCGAGAACCUAUACCGCCCUCUAGGAAACGCUUGAAUGAGGUCAUUGGAGCUGUUAAUGCAAAGCGGGGGGGAAGGAGCACUGAUGGCGAUGAAACUAUUGCAGACAGAGUUGCCUGGCGGCGACGGAAGCGACCUAAUGCCUCUCUCUACCAAACUUGUCGCAAGAUUUUUGGAAAGAAGAAAAAGAAAACCUGUAAUGAAAAAAUUCACUAUUACAUGACUUCUCAGACACACAAGGAUUUUGAUGUUGCCACAUCAUCUCAUCAACAGUAAUCCAUUCAGCGAUGAGAUGAGUAUUAAUUAGUGUUGCACAUUAAUAUCCUCAACAGCACAUGACUAAAAGCUCCCUUAAGGAGUAACCUCCUUUAAAAUAGCAGUGUAUUGCCUCACAGAUUCUUUGUCAUGGACAGUUUUACUCAUGUGUUUUAUUAAAAUUUGUUGGUGACACACAUGAGUUUCCCUUUGAUGAAUCGGCUUUAUUUAAUAUUUUAAAAUAAUGGAUGAGCUGUUUGUCCUAUUGACUUCAAUAGAAGAGUGCACUGUGCUGGUAUUUAGCAAUGAUUGUGGUAGCACUUUAAACUAACCAUUUUGUAUUUCAAGUUACGAGCAUUUAUUGCUUACUUUUCAAGAAAAAAUAUAUUUUUUAAAUUUGGCUAUGUGUAAUGUGGUAUCUGGUACUCUAAGUUGUUGAAAUAUGCCCAUUUACUGUUCAUAUGUGUACAUAACUCACUUCACCAUUUAAUACUUUUGCAUAAAUAUUGUGCAAAUUUUUAACAUUAGUAAAAUUUUUAUGUCAUUUAUUAUUAUUGUUCAAGUGGAGAAGAAAAUUAUUGCGUUUUUCAAUAGUUUAUUUACUUAAUCUGCCUCCUUCUGAGGCAGGUGACUGUUGUCAAAUGGAACAAAUUGAUUUGUUUUUAUGUGUGUUAAAUCUUUUAAUUCUCAUUUAGGCCCAAACUUUGACCAAGAAGGACUGUCAUGAGUUAUUCUGUGAUUCAAAUGGAUUAAUACCGAGCCUGUUUUUGAAUAAUUCGUACACAGGUGUUCCGUUCAGGCAACCGGAAUCAUUGUGAGCGAAAGGAAGGAGCCAUCUAAUGCAUCCACUAUCAUAUUAUGAUAUGAGACUGGUUAUUGUUGAUUUUUUUUACUAAUAGUUAACUUAAUCUCAAUUAUGCUAUCUUAAGUAUGUAAACCUAAAAUGUGUCUUUUGCUUGCAAUGUUCCAUAGUAGUCAAUUUUAAUAAUGUGAAAUAGCACUUCAAUCAAUUCUUUUGAUACUUUUCUGGAUGAAUCUUCAUGCUCAACUCAAAGUUUGGCUGAAGCUAGCUGUGCAGACUUCUUUUCUUAUUUCUUGAUGAAUUCGCAUCUAUGUAUUUUUAUGAGGGGAGCCUCUCAUUUGCUGUUGUCCGCUAGACACAUGCUCAGCAUGUUGUUUUAUUCAGAUUGUGAAAGUUACACACAAUGCUCCUUGAAACAUUGAUAUUUUGUGAUAGUUACAUUUUUGUGUAGGAGUCUUAUGUGUUUUACCCCUGCUAUUAAUUUAAUUUUAUGAUUAUUAUCAGUGUUUUACAAUCAAACUCACAGUCAAUGAACCUCAUUGUGCAAAGAAAUCAUUUUCUAUUGUAGCCUUGAUCUGUAGCAUUUAAUUUUUAUUUUUAAUUAUUUAUUGUCAUUGGUGGCAUUUUGGAUAGGUGCUUUGUUGGUCAUUAUUUGUUUUGCCUCACUUCAGAAUAUUUUGCCUUUUGUGUACCCGUGUGCUGCUGUGGUAGUAGAAACUCUCAUUCUUGAGUCACAAGAACUCCUCUCAGCAAUUAUCUGAUAUGCUUACGGAAAGGCGUGCUAGUGAAUCAAUUUGUGUUAUGCGACUUUUAUCUAUUGGCUGUGUCCUCAUCAAUAAUAAUCUGAAUUCGAGGAGACAUGCAUUUACUGUGUGAUUUAUGGCUUAUGUUAUUGCUUAAUAUUUUAUGAUAAUUUUAAUUGUAGUUACAGUAGAGCCAUUUAUAGAGCCCACCUUUUAAAACCCAUUAUUUCGGGCGAGGAUCUCAUAAGGUGCUUCUCUGAACUCUUCUUGCAUCUUUCAAACCACACAAGACUGUUUGAUAGUGUAAGUCUUGUUCUACAAUAGCAGAUAAAAUUUCUUGUGUGUUCUUAAUUACUAUAGGGAUUAUGAAACUGCUUCUUGGGUGGUUCCUUUUUAUUUUACUUUAACAGCUCCCAUGCAUUAAUAGUUCUAUGAGGACGUGUGGGUGGUGGGAAUACCAAAUGGAAUGUAUUUGCUUUUUGUUAUUGCCGUAAUCUUCCAAAAUGUAGCUUUUGUGAACUCCCGGUGCGAGUGUAUUCCCCUAGAUGAACUGUGUUUGUUAUUCAAAAUACUGUCCGCCUGCUUGAUUACUUAUCAGUAUAAUUAAAAACCUGCUUGCACCUA